rnacentral:ncRNA from 1 species
GCACAACCGAACGGGAGCCGAAAGGCUGAGAGGGAGCUCAUACAGCUUCGACCGAGGACUUGAUGCGGGUAAUGCCGCCGUAAGGAGACGGGUUGUUCGCGCCG